rnacentral:rRNA from 1 species
GAUGAACGCUGGCGGCGUGCUUAAUACAUGCAAGUCGAGCGAACAGACGAGUAGCUUGCUCCUCUGACGUUAGCGGCGUACGUGUGAGUAACACGUGGAUAACCUACCUAUAAGACUGGGAUAACUUCGUGAAACCGGAGCUAAUACCGGAUAAUAUAUUGAACCUCAUGGUGCAAUAGUGAAAGACGUUUUUUCUGUCACUUAUAUAUGGAUCCGCGCCGCAUUAGCUAGUUUGUAAGGUAACGGCUUAGCAAGGCAACGAUGCGUAGCCGACCUGAGAGGGUGAUCGGCGACACUGGAACUGAGACACGGUACAGAGUCCUACGGGAGGCAGAAGUAGGGAAUCUUCCGAAAUGGGCGAAAGCCUGACGGAGCAACGCCGCGUGAGUGAUGAAGGUCUUCGGAUCGUAAAACUCUGUUAUUAGGGAAGAACAAAUGUGUAAGUAACUAUGCACGUCUUGACGGUACCUAAUCAGAAAGCCACGGCUAACUACGUG